rnacentral:rRNA from 1 species
UACGUAGGUGACAAGCGUUGUCCGGAUUUAUUGGGCGUAAAGAGCUCGUAGGCGGCUUGUCGCGUCGAAUGUGAAAUCUCAGGGCUCAACUCUGACAUUGCAUUCGAUACGGGCAGGCUCGAGUUCGGUAGGGGAGACUGGAAUUCCUGGUGUAGCGGUGAAAUGCGCAGAUAUCAGGAGGAACACCGGUGGCGAAGGCGGGUCUCUGGGCCGAUACUGACGCUGAGGAGCGAAAGCGUGGGGAGCGAACAGG